AUUGAACGCUGGCGGCAGGCCUAACACAUGCAAGUCGCACGGUAACAGGAAGCAGCUUGCUGCUUCGCUGACGAGUGGCGGACGGGUGAGUAUGUCUGGGAAACUGCCUGAUGGAGGGGGAUAACUACUGGCAACGGUAGCUAAUACCGCAUAACGUCGCAAGACCAAAGAGGGUGGCCUUCGGGCCGCUUGCCAUCGGAUGUGCUCAGAUGGGAUUAGCUAGUAGGUGGGGUAACGGCUCACCUAGGCGACGAUCCCUAGCUGGUCUGGGAGGAUGACCAGCGACACUGGAACUGAGACACGGUCCAGACUCCUACGGGAGGCAGCAGUGGGGAAUAUUGCACAAUGGGCGCAAGCCUGAUGCAGCCAUGCCGCGUGUAUGAAGAAGGCCUUCGGGUUGUAAAGUACUUUCAGCGGGGAGGAAGGCGAUAAGGUUAAUAACCUUGUCGAUUGACGUUACCCGCAGAAGAAGCACCGGCUAACUCCGUGCCAGCCGCCGCAGUAA
rnacentral:rRNA from 1 species